AUGAGGUUAAUGUGCUCACCGAUAAGGUUCGCGCAAAUGAUUGAUGGAUUAGAUGACGAGCACCUAAAGGCCAUCUGCACUCAAACCGGUCUUGGAGGGCUAACAAAGAUGAAGUCAGUGUCUCUCCGAUGUAUUAUGUUGGUGCUGCUAGCGAAGAGCUACAUCGACGACAUGCAGAGUAUUCACAUUGCUGGUAAGGACAUUUCUAUAACUCCAACGGAUGUCUAUCAAUUAAUGGACCUUCCAAUAGAGGGGAAAAAUAUAUAUAUGGAAAUGGGAAAACCAAAAGACGCAAACCUGUUAAGGGCUUAUCAAACAGAUGGAAGACUUAAGCUGAGUGACCUCGAGGACAAAAUUAAAGCCUCCAAAACUCCAGAUGAUCAUUUCAUCAGGCGGUUUGUUUUGUAUGUUAUUGGCAUUAUUUUAGCACCCACGGUACAAGAUUAUGUCGACUCCAAAUAUUUCGUCCUUGUUGAAGACGUCGCAAGAAUUCCCAAUUUUAACUGGGGAUGUUUCACACUGGACCAUUUGAUAACAUCCAUCAAUACUUUUAAUUAUAAGGAUCAAUUCAAUCUACAAGGAAAUAUAGCUUUGCUCCAAUUUUGGUAUUGGGAACAUGUUCGUGCUGGAUCGAUUUUGUAUUCUCGUAUACCCCGUCCGCUGAUGGCACCGUGGGAU
rnacentral:rRNA from 1 species